GUGCUCGCUUUGGCAGCACAUACAGAGAAGAUCUGCUCCUGUGCAAGCCUGACACACAGAUUUGUGAAACAUUCCAUAUUUUU
rnacentral:snRNA from 1 species